AACGAACGCUGGCGGCAGGCUUAACACAUGCAAGUCGAGCGCCCCGCAAGGGGAGCGGCAGACGGGUGAGUAACGCGUGGGAAUCUACCCAUCUCUACGGAAUAACGCAUGGAAACGUGUGCUAAUACCGUAUACGUCCUUCGGGAGAAAGAUUUAUCGGAGAUGGAUGAGCCCGCGUUGGAUUAGCUAGUCGGUGGGGUAAAGGCCUACCAAGGCGACGAUCCAUAGCUGGUCUGAGAGGAUGAUCAGCCACACUGGGACUGAGACACGGCCCAGACUCCUACGGGAGGCAGCAGUGGGGAAUAUUGGACAAUGGGCGCAAGCCUGAUCCAGCCAUGCCGCGUGAGUGAUGAAGGCCCUAGGGUUGUAAAGCUCUUUCACCGGUGAAGAUAAUGACGGUAACCGGAGGAGAAGCCCCGGCUAACUUCGUGCCAGCCGCCGCAGUAACAC
rnacentral:rRNA from 1 species